UUCCACGUUUCGAUAUAUAUUAACGUCGAAAGCAAAUACCGUAGAAUGCCGGACUGCGUUGUUUUUUUUAAAAAUUCAUAAACUCCAAUGCCAAAAUGUUCUAUAGAAUCGGCAAACUAAAAUUUAAGAUCGAAUUGAACAUAAAAACGAAGCGUAUUUAUAUACUGAUUGCAGGUCCUUUGCUUGAAUCCUAUCAAUAAAUUGUAUGAUGCUAUCUCGUCAAAAAAGUAAUGGCUUUAUAAUAGUGUGGUUAUCAUUUUGUGAAAACAUUACGCCAUUAACUGCUUAUUUAUUUACGCUCCGAUUUUUGCAGAUUCCUAUCCUAACGAUCUUUAUGAUGCUUGUUAUUAAAUAUAUUUAGUCAUCACCAGCAAUUGCUUACUUGAUAGUGGAGACGUUAAGGCGAGAUAAGGUAGGUGUGUAUUUGUAAGACUAAGCAUAUCGUUUUCCUUAUGUAAUUAAUAUUUCGUAC